CCUGAACGCUGGCGGCGUGGCUAAGACAUGCAAGUCGAACGGGUGUAGCAAUACACCAGUGGCGGACGGGUGAGUAAUGUAUCGCUAAUGUGCCCCGGAAUCUGGGAUAGCCAGUCGAAAGGCUGGGUAAUACCAGAUGAUAUAUCCUGAUGGCAUCAUCGGGAUCUCAAAGGAGUAAUCCGGUCUGGGAGCAGGCGAUAUCGUAUCAGCUAGUUGGUAGGGUAACGGCCUACCAAGGCGACGACGCGUAGCUGGUCUGAGAGGACGACCAGCCACAUUGGGACUGAGACACUGCCCAGACACCUACGGGUGGCUG
rnacentral:rRNA from 1 species